GCUGUAGCUCAUUGGGCAGAGUAUCUGCCUUGCAUUCAUAAAGUCCCAGGUUCAAUCCCCAGCGUCUCCA